AAGNCGAGCGGCAGCGGNUCCUUCGGGAUGCCGNCGAGCGNCGGACNGGNGAGNAAUGCCUAGGAAUCUGCCUGGUAGUGGGGGAUAACUCGGGGAGACUCGAGCUAAUACCGCAUACGUCCUACGGGAGAAAGCGGGGGAUCUUCGGACCUCGCGCUACCAGAUGAGCCUAGGUCGGAUUAGCUAGUUGGUGAGGUAAAGGCUCACCAAGGCGACGAUCCGUAGCUGGUCUGAGAGGAUGAUCAGCCACACUGGAACUGAGACACGGUCCAGACUCCUACGGGAGGCAGCAGUGGGGAAUAUUGGACAAUGGGCGAAAGCCUGAUCCAGCCAUGCCGCGUGUGUGAAGAAGGUCUUCGGAUUGUAAAGCACUUUAAGUUGGGAGGAAGGGCAGUAAGUUAAUACCUUGCUGUUUUGACGUUACCGACAGAAUAAGCACCGGCUAACUUCGUGCCAGCAGCCGCGGUAAUACGAAGGGUGC
rnacentral:rRNA from 1 species